rnacentral:rRNA from 1 species
AACGAACGCUGGCGGCAUGCCUAACACAUGCAAGUCGAACGAGACCUUCGGGUCUAGUGGCGCACGGGUGCGUAACGCGUGGGAACCUGCUCUUAGGUUCGGAAUAACUCCCCGAAAGGGGUGCUAAUACCGGAUAAUGUCUUCGGACCAAAGAUUUAUCGCCUUUGGAUGGGCCCGCGUUGGAUUAGCUAGUUGGUAGGGUAAAAGCCUACCAAGGCGACGAUCCAUAGCUGGUCUGAGAGGAUGAUCAGCCACACUGGGACUGAGACACGGCGCAGACUCCUACGGGAGGCAGCAGUGGGGAAUAUUGGACAAUGGGCGAAAGCCUGAUCCAGCAGUGCCGCGUGAGUGAUGAAGGCCUUAGGGUUGUAAAGCUCUUUUACCCGGGAUGAUAAUGACAGUACCGGGAGAAUAAGCUCCGGCUAACUCCGUG